rnacentral:rRNA from 1 species
AGGACGAACGCUGGCGGCGUGCUUAACACAUGCAAGUCGAGCGGUAAGGCCUUCGGGGUACACGAGCGGCGAACGGGUGAGUAACACGUGGGUGAUCUGCCCUGCACUCUGGGAUAAGCCUGGGAAACUGGGUCUAAUACCGGAUAUGACCUGCUCUCGCAGUGGGGGUGGGUGGAAAGAUUUAUCGGUGCAGGAUGGGCCCGCGGCCUAUCAGCUUGGUUGGUGGGUAAUGGCCUACCAAGGCGACGACGGGUA